rnacentral:misc_RNA from 1 species
GUCCAACACGUAUCCGUCGGAAGAACGCGCACGCGGCCCCUAUCGCUGCCCGCGCCUCUUCUCCGCCUGUUUUUGCCCUUGUUAUAAUGGAGUUUUUUCAAGUUGUCGACCCUGUGACGCUGGCGCCGGCGUCUUACGCGUACGUGGCGCUGCAGCUGGCAUUGGCCGUCGCCUGCGCCGUGCUGCUCGGUGUGUGCUUGCACGUUUUGCCUGAAAGACUGGUGCGCUGCUCCAAGACCGCCCGUCCUAAGGUGCCUCGCGAGGCCCUAGCAAAGGCGGUCACACCUGCCUCCAAGCUUUCCGUGGCUAAUAAGCCUUCAUCCUCGGCCGCAGCCUCGGCCACUCCCUCCUUUUCUGCCGCGGCGCCGGUGGGCACAGCACCCAAGGCGCAGGCGAAGGCGACCGCUCCAGCGGCUUCGGCUGCUGUGGCAGACAGCACGCUGGACGACGCCCUAGAAGCGUUUUUCGACGAGGAGAUUCUUCUCGACGAGGCCUUACUCGACGCCACAGCGCCAUCUGCCCUACCAGAGGAGGAGACGGCCCCAACGAAUCGGACGCCCGGGAAGCCGACCCGACCGCCUCCCAAGAAGACCGGAGACUUCUCCACAGCUCUGGCGGCCAAGAUGGCCAAGGGACUGCGAAUCAAGGCGUGCCCUGCCAGCACUGCUUCUUUGCCUCAAGCACAAUCAAAGCCACCCGAGAGAAACGACACGGCCGAGAAGGAGCUCGAGGACGCUCUGGACGCAUAUAUGGAAGAGGAGCAGCUGCUGGAUGAGGCGAUGCUGGACAGCGCGGUAGACGCGGCACACAGAACAUAAUCCUGCAACGCAUGCAUGGGCGAGGGCAGGGCAAGCGAAGCACACAGGGCAACAAGCGGUGGCGUCUGCCGUGCAUCCGUCUCCGCACGUAAGGUACAGCGAGGAAGUCUAUUAUUAUGUGACAUACGUGUAGAACCCACUAGUGCGUGAACACACGAGUGCGUGUGCGUAUGCACACGUAUACCUACACCCGCACACACGGUUCGCCGCGCCGCUCUGCAACGCGUCUGCGGAGUGCGUCUCGUGACCCGAACGCAUGCUCUUGUACGUACCGAAAUCGGGGGCACCCCGCACGCCUGCUUUCUUUUGUCUCUGCUUCCACUCAGAUGCACCAAACGUGAGGCUAAAGCGGCAUUGGACAGGAUGCGUGCAGUGAUGAAGGAUGUCGGGUGUACAUGCACGCAUGCGUUUGCUGCUGGGCAGAUUCGAAUAGGCCACGCAGGGCAUGCCGUUAUCGGUGAGUACCGGUUCACAGCGGUGGGCCUGUCUGCUCAGCGGCGACGGGGGCAAAUGUGGACUCGCUCUGAUGACUCAAGCGGCCAGCCUUCUAUGCCCCUUCGUCGGCGGACUGGUUUGUGUCGGUGUGUGAGCUCAGUUGUAGAGCGUGAUAUCAGGAGUGGCUGCAGUUACAAUACGCCUCGUGAGGCAUUUUAGGCUUGAACAGCUGCUCGCUUUCUUUCGCCUGGAGCAGCGUGUGCGUGUGUGCUAUGCUCUCACUAGUGGACAAACGCGACACGCCUUGCACGAGCAGCGAAGUUGCUGGCUGACUUCCUUUGCGUCUUUCAUGUCCUCUGGCCUUCUCGUGUGUUGACUCCAAAAGCCGGUGGGGUAUGCAAGCUGUACUGGACAAGUUGAUAUUCACUUUCUGCUUCCUUGUGCGCAAAAUGUAAACGGAAGUGGCCUCUCUGCCUGUGUGCAGGGCGCGUGCGCGAGAUCUCGUCCCUUUUGCCAUAACACCGUCUCGGCACGCCACGAAACUGAGCUCUCAACGCGCCUGUGUGCUUCUCUGCACAGGCCGACCACCGCUU